UCUGACUGCACGAUGAGAGAGAGCAGAGCCCUGGAGAGAGAAGGGGGAGCGGGAGCGCGCAGCGAGGCUGCAGCCCUGGGAACGGCAUCGGCAUCGCCACGGCCAUCGCUCAUCGCUGCCGAGGGAGGAGGGAGCGCGAGAAGAUAAUGAGGCAGUUUUGUGGGUGUUUACAAGGAUCAUGAUAAUGCUUGGUGACAGCGGCAGAGCAGAGAAAUGACACAUUAAGGCCACCUGCCUGGGUUGCACUUCACACCUUUGUCCUGGGGACACCGAGUGACUGGAUCGGGCGGUGGGUGAGACAAGCAGAUGUGAUGUAUCUUACCUCUCCACCUUUUAUGCAUUAGCUGGGUAUAAAUUGGCCCUGCAGCACUCUCGCAAGACACCUUCUGAUACCAUCUUUUAACUUGAGGAAAUAAAAUCUGAGAUCUGAUGUCUUUGCUGCUGUGUUGCCCUUAUACAUUACCUUUCCUCCUGAUUUAUACCCGGUGCACAGCUCAGGCUGAAGCCAGAAGGACUUUCUCCUAGCUCAGCACUGUGCAAAUGGGCACCCGCUCCUUUCCUGCUGCCUUCCCCACACACGGAUGGUUGAAAGGAAAGGACAAGCAACGCAAAAACUUUCCGUGUGACUAAAACUGUAAGAUUUAACAGCAUAAGUGAGUCCAUGAGCACUGGUUCAGUGUUAAGUUCUUAGGUAAACUGCUGCUGUCUGUUUAGAGGAAGCCUUUGCUGGGGUGUAGGAGUGGGAUGCUAAUCACCGCAGCAUAUUACCGUGACCCUAAGUGGAGCAGAACAGGUGCUCAGAUGUCGGUUCAACUUCUUCCCAAACUACUUCUGAAGCAGUAAAACCAAUUCAGCUCGAUGUCUGGAAUUAAAAUCAAGCCUUCAUUGGAUUCAUGUUCAAGGACUGAGAGUCGCUAACUAACCCUUCUGUGUCUAAAUUGCUUCUUCAACAAAGGCUCAUCGUUUAAUUGUGAACUAUAGCAAUAGCACGUAAAAAGGAUUUGCAAUUUGGGAGCGUUUGUGGAUCUCAACCAACUUUGCGGGCUAAGUAAAGUGUGAGAAACAUUUUUUACCAUGCUAUUCUAUCAACUGAGCUUUUAAGGCAGCCUGAUGAAAAUGAAUUUAUUACUUUAAUAGCAUUUUCUCUCUGGAAAAAAAGGUCUUGCUAACUUAUUGAAGCAGAGCUUGAAAUAACAGACAAAAACUGUCAGCAAAGCUGUGAUGUAGUCUGGAACUAAGUGAAAAUUGUGACCAAAAUCCGAGCCUACCCAAGCCCUGAGUUAAAUGCCAAAAUGCCCCAGGAUUCCUCGGAUCAUCAUGCAAGCUGUUAAGGAUAACAAGCAGCUUAUUUGUUUGACGUUCUCCUCCCUGCCCCCCCCUCCUUUUUUUUUCCUCCUUUUUUUUUUUUUUGUUGUUGUUCCUUUUGUGCUAAGUUUUUUAUUUUGGGAGGAUUAGGUACCUGGCAGGAGGAGGGUACAACCUUUCGGGAAGACCCAGCAGGAUUUCAGAUUUUCUGUGGUCUUGAAAAAAUUGUUGUGGUUAAAUAAAAGCAAAGCUUAGGAAAAAAAAAAAAGGCAUCGGUAAUGUGCAUAGUACAAAGCCUCUGUAUAGCAUUUAAAUGCAAUUUUUACCUUUACAGAAAGGACACGGUGAUUGGAAGGGCUAUGGAGAGCUGUGUGGAUUUCAUCCACGCAAUGCGUGGGUCCAACCUUGGGAAAUAAACCCCAUUUGCCAUGUUCUUUGAGGCCAUUUGCAGCUUUUCUUCCCCAAGGAGGGACGCGGUCUGUUGCCGAUAAAUAAAGUGGAAAUUUUGACACCAAAGGGAGCUAAACUGAGCUCCAUGAAAAGGGAGUGCUAGCAUGCAGUGCUCCUUUUCUUUUUUCUUAUUAAUGCAACUAAUUAAAUGUUUGUAUUUUUUAAGCACUAACUGGUUUUUGAUGGUUGUUUAGAGACUUUGAGAAAGUCAAUAAUUUUGAUGAAAUAAGACUGUAGGCUCCAGAACAAAGUCCACAAGGAAUCCGUGAUGUUGCUAGGAUACAGCCAUUAGUAUUUUCAGCGGCUGGGAUAUUUUUUGGUGGGUU